AUACGGAGGGUGCGAGCGUUAAUCGGAAUUACUGGGCGUAAAGUGCGCAUAGGCGGCUUUGUAAGUCGGAUGUGAAAGCCCUGGGCUCAACCUGGGAAUUGCACUCGAUACUGCAGAGCUAGAGUAUGGUAGAGGGAAGUGGAAUUUCCGGUGUAGCGGUGAAAUGCGUAGAUAUCGGAAGGAACACCAGUGGCGAAGGCGACUUCCUGGGCCAAUACUGACGCUGAGGUGCGAAAGCGUGGGGAGCAAACAGGAUUAGAAACCCCAGUAGUCC
rnacentral:rRNA from 1 species